rnacentral:rRNA from 1 species
UACGGAGGGUGCAAGCGUUAUCCGGAUUUACUGGGCUUAAAGGGUGUGUAGGCGGACUUUUAAGUCAGCGGUGAAAUCUCCGGGCUCAACCCGGAAACUGCCAUUGAUACUAUUGGUCUUGAAUGUUGUUGAGGUGGGCGGAACGGGUCAUGUAGCGGUGAAAUGCAUAGAUAUGACCCGGAACACCGAUUGCGAAGGCAGCCCACUAAGCAAUGAUUGACGCUGAGGCACGAAAGCGUGGGGAUCAAACAGG